rnacentral:rRNA from 1 species
GAUGAACGCUGGCGGCGUGCUUAACACAUGCAAGUCGAACGAAGCACCUUAUUCUGAUUUCUUCGGAAUGAAAAAUUUGGUGACUGAGUGGCGGACGGGUGAGUAACGCGUGGGUAACCUGCCUCAUACAGGGGGAUAACAGUUAGAAAUGACUGCUAAUACCGCAUAAGACCACAGCACCGCAUGGUGCAGGGGUAGAAACUCCGGUGGUAUGAGAUGGACCAGCGUCUGAUUAGGUAGGUGGUGGGGUAACGGCCUACCAAGCCGACGAUCAGUAGCCGACCUGAGAGGGAGAACGGGCACAUUGGGACUGAGACACAGCCCAAACUCCUACGGGAGGCAGCAGUGGGGAGUAUUGCACAAUGGGGGAAACCCUGAUGCAGCGACGCCGCGUGAGUGAUGAAGUAUAUCGGUAUGUAAAGCUCUAUCAGCAGGGAAGAAAAUGACGGUACCUGACUAAGAAGCACCGGCUAAAUACGUGCCAGCCGCCGCAGUAAAAC